rnacentral:rRNA from 1 species
CUGUGGUGCGAGCUUACCAUGCAGUCGAGCGGUAACAGGGGGUGCUUGCACCCCGCUGACGAGCGGCGGACGGGUGAGUAAUGCAUAGGAAUCUGCCCAGUAGUGGGGGAUAGCCCGGGGAAACCCGGAUUAAUACCGCAUACGCCCUUUGGGGGAAAGCAGGGGAUCUUCGGACCUUGCGCUAUUGGAUGAGCCUAUGUCGGAUUAGCUAGUUGGUGGGGUAAAGGCCUACCAAGGCGACGAUCCGUAGCUGGUCUGAGAGGAUGAUCAGCCACAUCGGGACUGAGACACGGCCCGAACUCCUACGGGAGGCAGCAGUGGGGAAUAUUGGACAAUGGGGGCAACCCUGAUCCAGCCAUGCCGCGUGUGUGAAGAAGGCUUUCGGGUUGUAAAGCACUUUCAGUGAGGAGGAAAACCUUCUGGUUAAUACCCAUGAGGCUUGACGUUACUCACAGAAGAAGCACCGGCUAACUCCGUGCCAGCAGCCGCGGUAAUACGGAGGGUGCAAGCGUUAAUCGGAAUUACUGGGCGUAAAGCGCGCGUAGGUGGUUUGAUAAGCGAGAUGUGAAAGCCCCGGGCUUAACCUGGGAACGGCAUUUCGAACUGUCAG